GGAAGGGUGGCAGAGUGGUCUAUUGCACUGGUCUUGAAAACCAGCGGACGCGAGUCCCGUGAGUUCGAAUCUCACCCCUUCCGCCA
rnacentral:tRNA from 1 species